GCUCCCUUCGGGGAGUGCAUAAAGUGGCGCACGGGUGAGUAACACGUAAGUAAUCUACCCUCGAGUGGGGAAUAACGUCCGGAAACGGACGCUAAUACCGCAUAAUGCAGCGGCACCGCAAGGUGACAGUUGUUAAAGAUUUAUCGCUUGAGGAGGAGCUUGCGGCAGAUUAGCUAGUUGGUAAGGUAAUGGCUUACCAAGGCAACGAUCUGUAACCGGUCUAAGAGGACGGUCGGUCACACUGACACUGAAUAACGGGUCAGACUCCUACGGGAGGCAGCAGUCGGGAAUUUUGGGCAAUGGGGGAAACCCUGACCCAGCAACGCCGCGUGAAGGAUGAAGUAUUUCGGUAUGUAAACUUCGAAAGAAUGGGAAGAAUCAAUGACGGUACCAUUUAUAAGGUCCGGCUAACUACGUGCCAGCAGCCGCGGUAAUACGUAGGGACCAAGCGUUGUUCGGAUUUACUGGGCGUAAAGGGCGCGUAGGCGGCAUGACAAGUCACUUGUGAAAUCUCUGGGCUUAACCCAGAACGGCCAAGUGAUACUGUCGCGCUAGAGUGCGGAAGGGGCAAUCGGAAUUCUCGGUGUAGCGGUGAAAUGCGUAGAUAUCGAGAGGAACACCUGAGGUGAAGACGGGUUGCUGGGCCGACACUGACGCUGAGUGCGCGAAAGCCAGGGGAGCAAACGGGAUUAGAUACCCCGGUAGUCCUGGCCCUAAGCGAUGAAUACUUGGUGUCUGGAGUUAUUAGUGCUCCGGGUGCCGUCGCUAACGUUUUUAGUAUUCCGCCUGGGGAGUACGCUCGCAAGAGUGAAACUC
rnacentral:rRNA from 1 species